rnacentral:rRNA from 1 species
GUAGGUGGCAAGCGUUGUCCGGAAUUAUUGGGCGUAAAGCGCGCGCAGGCGGUUCUUUAAGUCUGAUGCGAAAGCCCACGGCUCAACCGUGGAGGGUCAUUGGAAACUGGGAGAACUUGAGUACAGAAGAGGAAAGCGGAAUUCCACGUGUAGCGGUGAAAUGCGUAGAGAUGUGGAGGAACACCAGUGGCGAAGGCGGCUUUUCUGGUCUGUAACUGACGCUGAGGCGCGAAAGCGUGGGGAGCAAACAGGGAUUAGAUACCCUGGCAGUCCACGCCGUAAACGAUGAGUGCUAAGUGUUAGGGGGUUUCCGCCCCCCUUAGUGCUGCAGCUAACGCAUUAAGCACUCCGCCUGGGAUACGGCCGCAAGGCUG